rnacentral:rRNA from 1 species
AUUGAACGCUGGCGGCAGGCUUAACACAUGCAAGUCGAGCGGGGAAAGGUAGCAUGCUACCUGACCUAGCGGCGGACGGGUGAGUAAUGCUUAGGAAUCUGCCUAUUAGUGGGGGACAACAUUCCGAAAGGAAUGCUAAUACCGCAUACGCCCUACGGGGGAAAGCAGGGGAUCUUCGGACCUUGCGCUAAUAGAUGAGCCUAAGUCAGAUUAGCUAGUUGGUGGGGUAAAGGCCUACCAAGGCGACGAUCUGUAGCGGGUCUGAGAGGAUGAUCCGCCACACUGGGACUGAGACACGGCCCAGACUCCUACGGGAGGCAGCAGUGGGGAAUAUUGGACAAUGGGCGAAAGCCUGAUCCAGCCAUGCCGCGUGUGUGAAGAAGGCCUUUUGGUUGUAAAGCACUUUAAGCGAGGAGGAGGCUACCGAGAUUAAUACUCUUGGAUAGUGGACGUUACUCGCAGAAUAAGCACCGGCUAACUCUGUGCCAGCAGCCGCCGUAAUAC